GCCGACGUAGCCAAGUGGUCUACGGCACCUGACUUGUAAUCAGGCUUUCCAGCAAUGGGAAUCGUGGGUUCGAAUCCCACCGUCGGCUCCA
rnacentral:tRNA from 1 species